rnacentral:lncRNA from 1 species
GCAGAGGUCGCGAGUUUAGGGGAAAUCUGCAGCAGCAGCAGAAUUCAGGGAAUUCUGGUAAAGAAGCAGCAGUUCGAGAUUGUUUUAUGGGCAAGAACAAACAGGAAUGCUGGACCUGUGGGAUGCCAGGACACUACUCCAAGGAUUGCCCAGUUGCAGCUUGGCUACAGCGCAUGAACAUAGGGCUCGCAGCAAAUGCUCAGUAAGGGGAAACACAGGAACUUGCGGCAUCAUCUGAGGUAGUAGUUCCAAACAUUUCUGAAAAACUGACCAUCAAUUCAGGUUCAGAGAGAUACCUGAUGCAAAGCCAGUCGAACUUUGUGCAGUUUCGUGUUACAAAAGGGAAGUGCAUUUGUGUGGGAGAUGGAAGCAUUUUACUUGUUCGCGCAAUUGGGGAUGUGUGAGUUCCAUUGGGAAGAAAGUCUCUACUCUUGAAGAAUGUGUGGUAUGUUCCAAGAAUCUGGUUUCUGUAGCCAGGCUUACAGAUGAAGGUCUAGAUGUGAAUUUCUCCAAACAUCAAUGUCAAGUUCUUGC